ensembl:lincRNA Crnde colorectal neoplasia differentially expressed (non-protein coding)
GAGGGAGCGUCCGCGGCCCGCGCAGAGCCGCGCACCAAGCCGAUGGCGGUGGACGCAGCAGGGCCCCGCGGUCUGAGUGCGGGCAGGCGCGCGUGGGCGUGUCUCCCUGGCCCACGCGUGUCCCCGGCAUCAGUGUCUCGGCUCUGGUCCAGGACGAAGACUUCUGAAAGCGAGCCAAGGAGAAUCACAGUUCUUAACGGAGCCCCUGACUGCCCUGUGGAAGGAGGUGAUUUAGAAGAAAGUGAUUUGAUCUGGGGCAAAGUGAAGCAUCAGUAGCGCCUUCCAUCCCUUCACCUCAUCUGGAUCUCUUCACUUCACUCCACGUCUGUCGUCUCCCAUGCAUGAAGCAACAUGGACAAGUGAAGCUGCAACCAGUAAAGUGUAAGGUAUCAAGUAGUGACAAUGAUGGUGUCAAAUAA